UUUAGGAAAAAACAAUUAUCACGGUGCAGUACAAUAGCACACAAGAGGAUGCCCAGUAAUACCAACUAGAAAUGAAACCACAAAUUCUUGCUACAGCAGGAGUACAACUGAAUAGAUCCACCAUGCAGAUGUACAUCAGCACUGUUGUGCUAUCACAGGUUUAAUCUGAAGAGGCGAGGGAAUUUUGCAGUUGUGAACAGAAGGGGUGGUGACUACAGAGGUGGUGUUAGCGAACACCGAAAGAAGCUAUCACAGGUUUAAUCUGAAGAGGCGGGGGAAUUUUCCAGUUGUGAACAAAAGGGGUGGUGACUACAGAGGUGGUGUUAGCGAACACCGACAGAAAAUGGAAGGGGUGGCAUGCGCAUAGGAGGGCUGAGAGAAGAAUAACUUCUUUGGUCAAAAUAUAAACUAACUUGCAUAAUCAUUAUGCAUUAACCGGUUUAAAUUGAACAAUCACUCAGUAACAGAUUGUCAAAGUACC
rnacentral:lncRNA from 1 species